rnacentral:lncRNA from 1 species
GAUGAGACUCUACUGGUAUAAAGUACAGCUGGAAAGGACCCAGUUGCCUAGGGGAUGUUCCUGUGUGGCCCAUCUCUUCUUCAGGGAUGCUGAAGAUGAAACAAAUGGAGGAGUUGGUAAGAACAGUCUUAAGGAUAAGUAAGAGGCUACUCAGACUGCUGUUUCUCAGACCGUCCCUCUUCAGUACAUGGAGUCAAAUCACUGUGAUAUGGCUACUACCUGUGUGGGCCUUCACACCAAAGACAAGCAAGCUGAGGUAGCAUUCUAUGUCUCCCUCGAAUCAACCCUACUCAAGUCCAG